UCGCGGCUUAUCACCGGCGGUCCCGCUAGACAUGGUAACUAACGGCGAGGGUUGCGCUCGUUGCGCCACUUAAGGCAACACCUCACGGCACGAGCUGACGACAGCCAUGCAGCACCUGUGCAGGCUCCCGAAGGAGCACCGGCUUUCACCGGUUUCACCCUGCAUGUCAAGCCCUGGUAAGGUUCUUCGCGUUGCGUCGAAUUAAGCCACAUGCUCCGCUGCUUGUGCGGGCCCCCGUCAAUUCCUUUGAGUUUCAGCCUUGCGGCCGUACUCCCCAGGCGGGGCACUUAAUGCGUUAGCGCCGGCACCCAGGGGGUCGCUCCCCCAGGCACCUAGUGCCCAUCGUUUACAGUGUGGACUAC
rnacentral:misc_RNA from 1 species